UGGGGAAUAUUGGGCAAUGGAGGAAACUCUUACCCAGCAAUGCCGCGUGAGUGAUGAAGGUCUUCGGAUUGUAAAGCUCUUUAAUUGGGGACGAAUAAAUGACGGUACCCAAGGAAUAAGCCCCGGCUAACUAUGUGCCAGCAGCCGCGGUAAUACAUAGGGGGCAAGCGUUGUCCGGAAUGACUGGGCGUAAAGGGUGCGUAGGUGGUUUGGUAAGUUGGAAGUGAAAUACCCAGAGCUUAACUCGGGUGCUGCUUCCAAAACUAUCAGACUUGAGUGCCGGAGAGGAAAAUGGAAUUCCUAGUGUAGCGGUGGAAUGCUUAGAUAUUAGGAGGAACACCAGAGGCGAAAGCGAUUUUCUGGACGGUAACUGACACUGAGGCACGAAAGCGUGGGGAGCAAACA
rnacentral:rRNA from 1 species